rfam:Moorella thermoacetica ATCC 39073, complete genome.
GGGCGUCAAAGGCAAGCUCUCCGAAAGGGGAUGCGCGCAAAGCCAUGGGUCUAAGGCCUGGUAGAUACAGACCGGGCUAUGGCUGCCAGGCUACCGUA